UGGGGUGUAGCUCAACUGGCAGAGCGCCCGGCUGUUACCCGGAAGGUUGCUGGUUCGAAUCCAGCCGCCCCAG
rnacentral:tRNA from 1 species